rnacentral:rRNA from 1 species
AGCGAACGCUGGCGGCAGGCUUAACACAUGCAAGUCGAGGGGAGCGGCAGACGGGUGCGUAACACGUGGGAACGUGCCCUUCGGUUCGGAAUAACUCAGGGAACAUUGAGCUACUACCGGAUACCGAAGGAGCGGCCCGGGGCUGAUUAGCUUGUUGGUGGGGUAACGGCCUACCAAGGCGACGCUCAGUAGCUGGUCUGAGAGGCUGAUCAGCCACACUGGGGCUGGGACACGGCCCGGACUCCUACGGGAGGCAGCAGUGGGGAAUAUUGGACAAGGGGCGCAAGCCUGAGCCAGCCAUGCCGCGUGAGUGCUGAAGGCAUUAGGGUUGUAAAGCUCUUUUGUCCGGGACGCGGUACCGGAAGAAUAAGCCCCGGCUAACUUCGUGCCAGCAGCCGCGGUAAUAC